CCUGGGCCCGCAGAGCCACGCGAGCGCUGGCCCGGAGGCUCGUGCUGCCCUCGUGCACAUCCCUCCCAUUGGCUGCUCAGUCCCUGUUUACCAGGAGCCCGACCAAUCAGUGAGAUCACUGAGGCGCGUGGACACGGUGUGCUCCUGGCGGGUUUUUUCCAUCGGAACACACUAUUUUCUCCAUUGGCUAAAGAUUCCUUAGGAAAGCAUAGAAACAGUGCUUGGAGGGAAUGGCAGAAUGGCUGUGGUUCUUAGAAGAGGUGGAGAGGACGGAAUCGAGGAUAAGAAUUGCAGGAGAAGCUUGAAAUGGCAGACUAGAUAGGACACCUUGCCUGGAAAUGUUCCGGCCGUUUUUGGCAAAGAUGCAGCUGAGUCUCUACUUUUCUACUGAUCACAGUUCAGGAAAUCACUGCAAUUACAAGGUUUUGAAGCCUUCGUCAGCCGCAAAGGUCAGGAAAAAGACAGGACUAUGGAAAAGAAGUUGAGGAGUUGGAGGAAGUUGAAGAGCAAAGAAAAGGAGGAGCAAAGACGAACGGCUUCUUUCAUCAAGAAAUGGAGCCUAUUUCUCCUCUGUUUGAAUCUGGGAUUGGCUGUGUGACUUGCUUUGGGAAAAUGGUGCCUUCGAGAACCUGACAGAAGAGAGGCUUGCGCAUGGGCGGGUAUUAUCUGCUUCUUCCUUCGUUUGAAACCCUGAGACCAUAAUCUCCAGCCAGCCUGCUGGAGAGAUCACAUGAAGUAAAGGGUUCAUGCACCCCAUCAUUCCAGCCAAUCCAGCUGUACCCAGAUGUGUGAGUGAGGCCAUCCUAGACCAUCCAACCCCAAAUGAAUCGCCUUGGACCUUCCAAGCCAACUCACGGAAUCACUGAAAAUAACAGAUUACUGUUAUUCUAAGUCAGAAAGCUUGGGAUGAUUUAUGCAGCGAAAGUGUAUCAAAAGGGUGAUGGUAGUUGCGGGAAAUAAACAUAUACCUUUAAUUGUAGAUGCACAAACAUCUUUGGAAUGAUACCUCCAAAAUAGAAAUUACUAUAUUGAAAGAGCACUCUGAGUACCCAGCAUGGUAGAUGAAAAUAGAUCAUGAAGUUUCAAAACAGCAGGAACAGGUAGAAGAUUCUAUAAACUUUUGGAAGGGAAAAGGGAGAACAGUUUAAGGCAAGUAACAAAGACUCAGAAUGGCAUCCUCUUCUCUGCAGUGUUGAUGCCCCCCAGUCUAUAACCAUCAGGAACAAACCUAUAGUCAAACCUGGGUCAUUGAAACAAAGGAGACGGCAAAUUCUAUGGGGAAAGUGUGGGACAGUUCUGCCUUUGGGAAUCUUGAUAUUUUAAUCUAGAAAGUGGAGGAAUGGUUGCAGCACUAAACACACAAUUGGUAAAGAAUCAACAGUCAAUGCAAAACUAAGCCAAGCAUGGUGGGCCAUGCCUGUGAUCCCUACUCAGGAGGCUGAGGCAGGAGGUUCACUUGAACCCAGGAAGCAGAGGUUGCAGUGAGCUGAGAUGAUGCCCCUGCACUGCAGCCUGGGUGACAGAGACUCCAUCUCAAAAAAAUAAAUAAAUAAAAGCAGAGAAACCAGGACUUAGAGCUGGUCCAGCGUGUUGGAGAUGCACUAGGAAAGGUGACUAUUCCGGCCCCUGAAGUCUCUAGCCAGAGCAGAGCAGAGAUGCCCAAUAGAGAAGGGAUUCUUGUGGCUAGGUCAGGGCUCUUCCUCCUGGACGCUUUGUCACCCAGGCUGGAGUGCAGUGGCACAAUCACGUUCACUGCUGCCUCCAACUCCUGGGCUUAAAUGAUCCUCCCACCCCAGCCUCCUGAAUAGCUGUGGCUAUAGGCACAUACCACUAUGCCCUGCAUAUUAAUUUUUUUUUAGAGAUAGAAAAAGAAUCAAUAGUCACUAUUAGUAGUUGGGAAAGGGGAUGCUUAAUCACAUUAUGGUUUGAACAGUGUUCUGUUUGUGCUCAAAUAUGAUUGUGAAAUAGUCUUUCUUUUAUCUCGGUUAGAGAGUGACUUUGUUAUUGAUGUGAAAUUUUUUAGUUUCAACUGGAGAACAUCAUGGCCUAGGUGUUUGUCAGACCAGCUCUAAGCUGAGAGUGGAGGACAAAGGUUACUUUUUUCUUUCUCAGAAGCGACUAUGGAAAAUACAAAACAACAAGGGCCAGGCGCGGUGGCUCAUGCCUAUAAUCCCAGCACUUGGCGAGGCUGAGGGGUGCGGAUCACUUGAUGUUAGGAGUUUGAAACCAGCUUGGCCAACAUGACAAAACCCUGUCUCUACUAAAAAUAAAAGAAUUAGCUGGGCGUGGUGGCGCGUGCCUGUAAUCCCAGCUACUCAGGAGCCUGAGGCAGGGGAAUCGCUUGAACCCGGGAGGUGGAGGUUGCAGUGAGCGGAGAUCACACCUCUGCACUCCAGCCUGGGCAACAGAAUGAGGUGAGACUGUCUGAAAAAAAGGAGCAGUGUCUUUGAAAAUUGAGAGAGAAAUUAUUUCAACCUAACUCUUUAUAUAUCUAUAUAGUAAAAUAUCAAUUAAGUGUAUGGGUAUAAUAGACAUUUUCAACAUGUCGCAUCUCAAAAAAUUUAUUUCUAAGACAACAACUUUAUAGAAGGUUUUGGAGGAUAUGCAUCAUCAAAAGGGAGAAGUGAGUGAAGAACGAACCCCCUGAGACCCAUGACACGGGAUCUAACAAAAGAGAGACAUAAUGGAAAGCCCAAGAUGAUACAGCAAACAGAAAUAAUAUGACAGCUGUGGGAUGAGCCUGAAGAGCGGGCCUUCGAGUGGAGUAGGUAGGAAAGCGCAGGAAAAAGUUCCUGAACAAGCAUACAAGCAAGAGAACCAACCAAAACGAUGUGUGUUUCUGUGUGUUGAGGGGAGAUUCGCAGAACUGGGGAGAAAUUGGAUCAUGUAAUAAAUAUAUGGACAACUAGCCAAAUGGAAAAAUAAGAUUGUCGCCAGGGUAAAUGCUGUACAAAAAAAAUCACUUAAUCACAUUAAAUAAUGUGACUCAUCUGUUAACAAAAUUUAAAACGAUGUUUGUAAUUAUAUAAAUGAUAUAUUAAAAUAUAUUGAUGCAACA